rnacentral:rRNA from 1 species
UACAGAGGUCUCAAGCGUUGUUCGGAUUCAUUGGGCGUAAAGGGUGCGUAGGUGGCGCUGUAAGUCGGGUGUGAAAUUUCGGAGCUUAACUCCGAAACUGCAUUCGAUACUGCGGGGCUAGAGUGCAGAAGGGGCAACUGGAAUUCUCGGUGUAGCGGUGAAAUGCGUAGAUAUCGAGAGGAACACCUGCGGCGAAGGCGGGUUGCUGGGCUGACACUGACGCUGAAGCGCGAAAGCUAGGGGAGCGAACGGG